UUCUUGCAAAGCAAAUGGUUCAAUCUAAACUGUUGAUACUAAGAAUUUCGUUGUUUAGGGCCUAAACUGUUGAUAUUCUUUUAUGUGUUUGGUUUGCUUUGACGUAAAAUAGAUUUUGUUAUGAAGAUGAUUGCACAAAAGAAGACCCACUAUCACAAGAGCUCUUCCGCAAACUAGCAAUGCCUUUGCCAUUCUCGAAGCAGCAUCACUCGAAGCUGGUCUGUUACAUAACAAAGGACUUAAUGGACACUGAGAAUCCUCCACUAGUCCUGCCUAAUGGAUAUGUCUACAGCACAAAGGCUAUGGAAGAAAUGGCCAGAAAAAACAAUGGGGUGAUUUAAUGUCCAAGAACCGGAGAUAUAUGCAAUUUCUCCAGCUUAGUCAAGUCGUACAUUUCAUGAAUCCUUCUUCUUC